AUAUCAGUUCACACAUUUGAGCGUUUUUGACCAGUAAACCACCACCCACUCAGAGCACGCCAGCAAAGGUGACAGAGUCACAGAGCUGGAACCGGAGCAGGAGCGGAUAUCAUCAACACUUGUCUCUGAACUUAAGCAUUAUCAGUGGAAACUUAAGAUGCAGAAGAUCACGACUGCUGUGACGAUCAACAGAGAUCCAGCAGACAUCGACACGAUCAGAAAUACAGAGACUGGAGGAACUGAAGAAGAGGAAAAGACAGACAGUCAUUAAUGUGAGUGAUUGAAUCAGUCUGAUCUACAACAGAAGACAGAGAUCAGCUCAGUGAAUAACUUGUGGAAGAACCUGAACAUGUGUGACAGAGCUGAGUGAUGUCCAGAUGUUGAGUCUGGUUGCUGAUGGGAUUGUUGAGCACACAGCUGUAGCUGUUUUUAUCCUGA